rnacentral:rRNA from 1 species
CAGAAUGCCGCGGUGAAUACUUCCCGGGUCUUGUACACACCGCCCGUCACACCAUGGGAGUCGGAAAUGCCCGAAGUCUGUGACCCAACCCCUGGUGAGCAUGACCGUAUAAAGAGAUAACAGAGCUUACGAAGGAAGGUCUGUUAUACUCGCGAAAAAGAUGUACGGAGGUCGUGCUUAGCAGGGGGAGGGAGCAGCCGAAGGCAGGUCGGAUGACUGGGGUGAAGUCGUAACAAGGUACC